AGAGUUUGAUCAUGGCUCAGAUUGAACGCUGGCGGCAUGCUUUACACAUGCAAGUCGGACGGCAGCACGGAGAAGCUUGCUUCUUGGGUGGCGAGUGGCGAACGGGUGAGUAACAUAUCGGAACGUACCGAGUAAUGGGGGAUAACUAAUCGAAAGAUUAGCUAAUACCGCAUAUUCUCUGAGGAGGAAAGCAGGGGACCUUCGGGCCUUGCGUUAUUCGAGCGGCCGAUAUCUGAUUAGCUAGUUGGUGGGGUAAAGGCCUACCAAGGCGACGAUCAGUAGCGGGUCUGAGAGGAUGAUCCGCCACACUGGGACUGAGACACGGCCCAGACUCCUACGGGAGGCAGCAGUGGGGAAUUUUGGACAAUGGGCGCAAGCCUGAUCCAGCCAUGCCGCGUGUCUGAAGAAGGCCUUCGGGUUGUAAAGGACUUUUGUCAGGGAAGAAAAGGCUGUUGCUAAUACCGACAGCUGAUGACGGUACCUGAAGAAUAAGCACCGGCUAACUACGUGCCAGCAGCCGCGGUAAUACGUAGGGUGCGAGCGUUAAUCGGAAUCACUGGGCGUAAAGCGAGCGCAGACGGUUACUUAAGCAGGAUGUGAAAUCCCCGGGCUCAACCUGGGAACUGCGUUCUGAACUGGGUGACUAGAGUGUGUCAGAGGGAGGUAGAAUUCCACGUGUAGCAGUGAAAUGCGUAGAGAUGUGGAGGAGUACCGAUGGCGAAGGCAGCCUCCUGGGAUAACACUGACGUUCAUGCUCGAAAGCGUGGGUAGCAAACAGGAUUAGAUACCCCGGUAGUCCAA
rnacentral:rRNA from 1 species